AAAAAUAUCGUGAACGUAUUAGGCCCUCAGCCCAGAGAGAAAGCGCCCAAUGCUAGCAUAUUUAGUAUUCUGUGGCUAGCACUAGCGGUUUCACCACAGACAGUAAUCUGUGGUUUCACCCCCCUGGUUUGUAUUCCGAACACUGACAGGAGAACUAAAAUGGCGGUGUGUGACGUCAUCACUAAUAGAGCGAAUAGGCAAAAAUUUGUUUUAAAUUUUCCGUGUUAAAUGGUAUUACUCUGCCAAUGCGAAACUAAAAUUACAUGUAAAAUAUGUGGGAAAAAGAACAAGGUUGUGGAAAAAAUGUUGGCUGCAACAUGUUUGUGUUUAAUUUUAUAAUUCUCGGUAUUUCAGGGGAAUUUUGAGCCAAAAAUUACUAAUUUGAUGUUAGAACCAAUUCCAAAAUUCGAUGUUUACUCAAUAAUUGAAAAAAUUCGAUCGAAAUUAAAUUUAGAAUUAAACAUCAAAAUAAAAACGAAUAUUCAUGUGAUUUUCUGUAGAUUUUACAGAAAAAGAAUAAUUUAAUUCUUCAGGAAAGAAACAGAAAAAGAAGAUAAUCCUAAUCUAUGUAAUAAAAUGACACUUUGACAUAUCCUUGACAUUUCCAUUUCAUAUUUAAUUCAAUACUAUAAUCGUUAACUUUGUUAUCUAAUAGUUAACUUCUCUUUUUAAAUUUAUCCCAAAUUUCAGCCAUGCUGUCUUUAGCUCGAGUUGCUUCUAGAAAUGUUAUGCAAGUUAGGAAUUACCAACAUGUAAUAACAUCUCCACCUCAAAAUAGAGUGGGAUUACCUCAUAAGUUUAUUCAUAUGGCACUCAUUACAGGAGCAAUGUUGGGUGUUCCCGCGUAUAUAUGUGUAAAUUUCAAACAUUACAAAGCAGAUGCUUAAAUACUUGAAAUUUUAAUGUAGUAAUAUAUAAGGUUAUUAGCAA